rnacentral:misc_RNA from 1 species
GAUGAAGAACGUAGCGAAAUGCGAUAAGUAAUGUGAAUUGCAGAAUUCAGUGAAUCAUCGAAUCUUUGAACGCACCUUGCGCUCUUUGGUAUUCCGAAGAGCAUGCCUGUUUGAGUGUCAUGAAAAUAUCAACCUUGACUUGGGUUUUGUGCUCUAGUCUCGGCUUGGAAUUGGGUGCUUGCCGCUUUAACGAGCGGCUCACCUUAAAUGUAUUAGCUGGAUCUGUCUUUGAGACUUGGUUUGACUUGGCGUAAUAAGUAUUUCGCUAAGGACAUUCUUCGGAGUGGCCUCGUUUCUAGGACGCUUGUCCGCUUUCCAAUACAAGUUACACCUCGUGGACAUGACUUUUUAUUAUCUGGCCUCAAAUCAGGUAGGACUACCCGCUGAACUUAAGCAUAUCAAUAAGCGGAGGA